rnacentral:rRNA from 1 species
GAACGCUGGCGGCGUGCUUAACACAUGCAAGUCGAACGGAAAGGCCCUGCUUUUGUGGGGUGCUCGAGUGGCGAACGGGUGAGUAACACGUGAGUAACCUGCCCUUGACUUUGGGAUAACUUCAGGAAACUGGGGCUAAUACCGGAUAGGAGCUCCUGCUGCAUGGUGGGGGUUGGAAAGUUUCGGCGGUUGGGGAUGGACUCGCGGCUUAUCAGCUUGUUGGUGGGGUAGUGGCUUACCAAGGCUUUGACGGGUAGCCGGCCUGAGAGGGUGACCGGCCACAUUGGGACUGAGAUACGGCCCAGACUCCUACGGGAGGCAGCAGUGGGGAAUAUUGCACAAUGGGCGGAAGCCUGAUGCAGCAACGCCGCGUGCGGGAUGACGGCCUUCGGGUUGUAAACCGCUUUCGCCUGUGACGAAGCGUGAGUGACGGUAAUGGGUAAAGAAGCACCGGCUAACUACGUGCCAGCAGCCGCGGUGAUACGUAGGGUGCGAGCGUUGUCCGGAUUUAUUGGGCGUAAAGGGCUCGUAGGUGGUUGAUCGCGUCGGAAGUGUAAUCUUGGGGCUUAACCCUGAGCGUGCUUUCGAUACGGGUUGACUUGAGGAAGGUAGGGGAGAAUGGAAUUCCUGGUGGAGCGGUGGAAUGCGCAGAUAUCAGGAGGAACACCAGUGGCGAAGGCGGUUCUCUGGGCCUUUCCUGACGCUGAGGAGCGAAAGCGUGGGGAGCGAACAGGCUUAGAUACCCUGGUAGUCCACGCUGUAAACGGUGGGUACUAGGUGUGGGGUCCAUUCCACGGGUUCCGUGCCGUAGCUAACGCUUUAAGUACCCCGCCUGGGGAGUACGGCCGCAAGGCUAAAACUCAAAGGAAUUGACGGGGCCCCGCACAAGCGGCGGAGCAUGCGGAUUAAUUCGAUGCAACGCGUAGAACCUUACCUGGGUUUGACAUGGAUCGGGAGUGCUCAGAGAUGGGUGUGCCUCUUUUGGGGUCGGUUCACAGGUGGUGCAUGGCUGUCGUCAGCUCGUGUCGUGAGAUGUUGGGUUAAGUCCCGCAACGAGCGCAACCCUUGUUCACUGUUGCCAGCACGUUAUGGUGGGGACUCAGUGGAGACCGCCGGGGUCAACUCGGAGGAAGGUGGGGAUGACGUCAAGUCAUCAUGCCCCUUAUGUCCAGGGCUUCACGCAUGCUACAAUGGCUGGUACAGAGAGUGGCGAGCCUGUGAGGGUGAGCGAAUCUCGGAAAGCCGGUCUCAGUUCGGAUUGGGGUCUGCAACUCGACCUCAUGAAGUCGGAGUCGCUAGUAAUCGCAGAUCAGCAACGCUGCGGUGAAUACGUUCCCGGGGCUUGUACACACCGCCCGUCAAGUCAUGAAAGUUGGUAACACCCGAAGCCGGUGGCCUAACCGUUGUGGGGGAGCCGUCGAAGGUGGGACUGGUGAUUAGGACU